rnacentral:lncRNA from 1 species
GCCUCCUCCUAAAAAGCCUGAAGUGCCACCCACAAAAGUCCCAGAGGUGCCAAAGGCAGCUGUCCCAGAAAAGAAGGUGCCUGAAGCUAUUCCUCCCAAACCGGAAAGUCCUCCCCCUGAAGUGCCUGAAGUGCUGCCACCGAAGGAAGUGGUCCCAGAAAAGAAAGUACCGGUGCCUCCUGCCAAAAAGCCAGAAGCUCCACCUCCUAAAGUGCCUGAGGCUCCCAAAGAAGUUGUUCCUGAAAAGAAAGUGCCAGUGCCUCCUCCUAAAAAGCCUGAAGUGCCACCCACAAAAGUCCCAGAGGUGCCAAAGGCAGCUGUCCCAGAAAAGAAGGUGCCUGAAGCUAUUCCUCCCAAACCGGAAAGUCCUCCCCCUGAAGUGCCUGAAGUGCUGCCACCGAAGGAAGUGGUCCCAGAAAAGAAAGUACCGGUGCCUCCUGCCAAAAAGCCAGAAGCUCCACCUCCUAAAGUACCAGAGGCUCCCAAAGAGGUUGUUCCUGAAAAGAAAGUGCCCUCGGCUCCUCCUAAAAAGCCUGAAGUCCCACCUGUUAAAGUGCCAGAGGCUCCGAAAGAAGUUGUUCCUGAAAAGAAAGUGCCAGCGGCUCCUCCUAAAAAGCCUGAAGUCACACCUGUUAAAGUGCCUGAGGCUCCCAAAGAAGUUGUUCCUGAAAAGAAAGUGCCAGUGCCUCCUCCUAAAAAGCCUGAAGUGCCACCCACAAAAGUCCCAGAGGUGCCAAAGGUAGCUGUCCCAGAAAAGAAGGUGCCUGAAGCUAUUCCUCCCAAACCGGAAAGUCCUCCCCCUGAAGUGUUCGAGGAGCCUGAGGAAGUUGCCCUAGAAGAGCCUCCUGCUGAAGUUGUGGAAGAGCCAGAGCCAGCGGCGCCUCCACAAGUGACCGUACCACCUAAGAAACCUGUCCCAGAAAAGAAAGCACCUGCUGUCGUU